rnacentral:lncRNA from 1 species
AAUUUUCGUAAAGAAAUUAUCAAUUUUCUUAAAGAACAUGAAAUACUUUAACUAAUUAAACUAAUUAUACCAGUUGUAUUUUAUAAUAUACUAUGUAUUUGUGUUUCACUAUGUAUUAUCCUAUUGUUUGUAAUAAUAUUGUCCUCUUGCACACCUGUAUGUGUCUGAGGGUAUGAAUAAAAUCUUGAAAAAAACCUUCAAUUUAAGCUAAAUUAACUAUUGCAAUAUACACAGCCAAGUUGUAAACACUAUACAUUUUGCUAUAUGGCGAAUUUAGAUUUUCAUUGUAACAACGUAUUUGGAACAAUUUUAAUCUUCCAAAAAAAGUUUUAUGGUUUUAUAGAAAUGAAAGAUUGGAUUUAUUUAUGCUGCAUUUAUUCUUUCAAGGGAAAGCAAUUUUUCAAAUGAUUUAAACCAGGCUAUCAAUUCAAUUUUAAAGUGCUUGGCCUAUUUGAUGUGCAAUUGUAGUUGUUCUUGUGGCCUUAAACAUGAAACCAUUUAGAUUUCAAAUGCUCAUAUUAGUGUUUGUUGUUGUUUAUAUAGUAUAGUAAUAUUAACAAUGUUUACAUAAAUGUGUGUGUGUGUGCAGUUUAGAGAUAUUCUUUUUAUAAUUGAAAGAGCAUAAUAAUGUUAAAAGUUAGUGUAGAUUGUAAAAAGUUGUUGUAGAUAACAAACAUUGGUUGUACAUUUAUAUUAUAAAAAAGUUAUUAUAGAUUAAGUGAAUAAGACUGACAGGGUGUUCUAUUAAACUGUGACACUUUUAUUUUUAUAUUUAAGAAUACUAUACUUGAAUGGAUAGACAACAUUUAUGUUCAGCUUUUCACAUACUAAACUAACUUCUAUGCUUGUUAAGCAAUGAAAAACAAUUUUGAUAUGUUUCUAGUUAACCUUAUCCAUACAAAAGCAAUUGUUUGUUUGUCAGUAGAUUGAUGCUGAAAUAAGUUUAAAAUGUCCCAAAUAAUCUACAUAAAAUGUCUUGUCUUUCUCUGAAAAUUCAUGUCUAUUGUUUUUAUUUUUACAACUGGCAAAAAAAUGCCUUUUCUCCCCUGUUAAAGAAGAAAACAUAUUGUAUAAGUAUGAUUCUUCUUCCUUGGGUAUCACAGCGAUAUAGUUUUUAUCAGUACUGAUGUGCCAUGAAUGAAUCAAUUAAUUUUCCUAUUUAUGUUCACUUACAACAUUGUCUAGGUCAUAAUUUGUUUUAUCUUUGACAUAAUUUUGUAUAUUUUUUUUUAUGAAAAGAAACUGAAUUUUUAUUUAUACAGGAAUACAAAAUGAAAAUCUUUCUAAUUCCUUUUGUUUAGCUCAUUUUGCCUAAAGCACUUUUAAUUCCAGGAAAAUGCUUCUAUCCAGAUAUUUUUUAUGCCCAGUUUAUGGGCAUUAUGUUUUCUGGUCUGCCUCUGUUCGUCUCUCUGUCCUGCUUCAGCAUGUUCAGGUUAAAAUUUUUGGUCACAGUAGUUUUUGAUGAAAUUGAAGUCCAAUAAACUUGAAACUUAGUACACAUGUUCCUUAUAAUAUGGUCUUUCUAAUUUCAAUGGCAAAUUAGGGUUUUUCCCUAAUUUCAUGGUCCAAUGAACAUAGCAAAUGAUAGUACGAUCUGGACAUCCCUGUACUAUGGACACAUUCUUGUUAUUCAUAUUUUUGAAUAAUAUUUUAUAAAUGGCCUAGCAUGUUUAUUGUACCCUGUCAAGUGUGUAAUAGUUGUUAUACCAGUAAAAGUACAGAGAAGAACCAAACAAUAAUAUGAUUAGUAGGCCUUUACUUUGGGUUUUUUCACCAUGAAAUGAAUCCAUUUUGAAAAGUAUUAUUUUUUUUAUGGUUUUGACAAAUGCUUGAUGUGCCAAUUUAUUUUUAUUUUUUUAUAUAUAUAAACAUUAUGUGUAUAAGUUCAUUAUUUAGAUGUCUAGGGUGAAAUAAACCUAUUUCAUCAAUUAUACAUGAAUUAUACAAUAUUUACACAUAAUUUCAUAAAGCACUGUCUUAAAAGAAACAUGUAGUUCUCCACAUUAAAUCCUUCACCUAUAAAUAAUUUGAUAUUAUGAAGAAAUCAUGUCCAAUUUCUUUUUCUUGAAGUCAAAAUUAUCAUGUAGAUUUCAUUCACUAUGAUUCAGAUUGUUAUCAUAUGGCAUAGAAAGUUGAGUUAUCCGGUGCUUGUGUCUGUUUAAUAUAUACUAAGCAAGAUUCAUAUUACAUUAUAUUAUGUUCUUGUCCUGAAUAUACAUUUAAUUUGCCACUGGAUGUUAAACAGAGAUCCAUCUAUCCUACUUCCACAAUAAAAGAAUUUUUUUUUGACAAUGACUGUAAUUUCUAUUUAUUUGAUGUAAUUUCUAUUUAUUUGAAGUCAAAAUUGACAAACAUUGUCCAAAACAUCCACAAAGCUAUGCAUUUAAGCAUUUAAAUGAUGUUUUUAUUAUAAAAUGUUGUUAAUAUUUUUAUAUUUUUCAAAACCUGUAAAUUUUUAUCAGUAUGAUUUUAAUAGUUAUAUUUCAGAUUGCUCUAAUGUUUAUCUGAAUAUAAGAACUUUCAAAUUUUGUUUUCAAUUUUGUUUUCAAUUUUGUUUUCAAUUUUGUUUUCAAUUUUGAUCUUGUAUGAUUAAAGUUGGUUUUCAACUCAACCAUAUUAGGGGAGAUAACUUUCAUAAAGGAAUGUAUAGUGAAUUUACCUACUUUGUUUUAAAUCAAGAAAAAGAAUUCUUUUACACCAAUUUUAUCUUAAAUCAUAUUUCCAAGAACUAACUUGAUCAAAUUUUAUUUUUAACUUCUAUCAUCCAGUUUUUCUUCUAUUUACAAAAAAAUAAAAUUUUCAUGAACAAUCUAUUCACAAUCUGACCAUGAUUGCACAAUCUGUAAGUUAACAAAAGUUCUGAAACUUAUCCCUUUUAUUAUAGUUGAAAAAAAAAUGAUAUAAUCUCAAUUUUGGUGAAGUAUAAAAGAUGUUCUAUUAUUUGAAUUUGUUCCUUAUCCAUGAUUUUAGUUCUACAAUUGGCAAAUUUCAUCGUUUUAAAAUAUCUGUUGAUCAUCUUAUAUUCACUUUAUUUUUAUUUGUAAACAAAUUCUACAAUUUAUCAUUCAUUUUAUACCAUUUGUAUACAUUGCUUAUGUAUUUCAUUUCACAGUUAUAUAGCGUAAAAUAAUAUUUUUAUGCAUUGGAUUUUUGAAGUUUUCUUAAAAAAUUUAAUGAUACAACUGUAUCAGUGAUUGGAUAUCUAUACUGUUAGAGGAUUUUGUAUUUCAAUGUUUUCCAUCCAGCAAAAAUAAAGGAUUAGCAUGAUUAGUAGCUUGUUUAAUUUGAUUAACCUGAAAUAUUUUGAAUAUUUGUAUUUUAACAUUAUUUUGAAUCAAAUGUAAUUAAUACUGCAUUUUGGAUAAUUUUCAAUGAUUUACUACAAUAAACAUGAUAAGACUUAAAUAUAGUUAAUAAGAAAUUAAAUAGGAUUAAGUAAAUAAAAUAUCAAAAUUUAGAUGUAAAUUUUCUUAGACAAGUAUAUUUAAUCCAUGUAACAAUUGGAUAGUUUUGUACAUAUACAUUAUACUGAAAUCAAUUUAAAACCUCAGAAUUGGUUAAAAAAUGUCUUGUGUUGAAAUGCUAGCCAAUAUCUUUUUUUUUUUUUCUAGAAAAGUCAAAAUAUCAAAAGCAAUCAGUGUACUAUGGUCUAGGUUUAAGAAAAGAAAAUUUGAAAGAUUUUUAGAGAAUUUAUAGUCAAGAUUAUACAUGUUUAUGUUGAUAAAUGAUAUUUUUAUACUCCAGUAUGUGUAAAACGGGUUAUUUUUAACCAAUGCUUAGUAUAUAAAGGCAAUGUUGUUUUUACAUUUUGUGUUUUUACAUGUCUUGUUUUACAUGUCGUGCAUUCAGAAACUGUUUAUGAUUUUUGCAUAAAACUACGCACACAAGACAACAGGUGUAUCAUGUGAUCAUGGGGCAGCUGUUUAUUAAUUUUGGAAUAUAUGUUCAGAAAUUGUUUAAUUAAAGAACCUUUCAAAAAAGAUGGAAGAAACCUAAGUGACAUUCACAAGUCACAGAAAAACUUACUGCACAAUGGCAAAAAUGACUGAAAGACAAAACAAGAGUAUACAAUAUUGUCAGACAUUUUUGUGUGAAUUUAUUAAUGUAAUUGUUCAAAACUUGUAAAAAAAUAAACAAGAUUAAUUAUCAUAAUAUUUGUAAAUGCUAUGAGGUAUGUGCAAAUAAUGAUAUAACAAAAAUUCAUUGGAUUUUUAAUUCUCUCGUCUACCACAAAAUGCAAGACAUAGGGAUUACAAUCCAGCGAUGGUGAUGGCAUAAACUAGGAGUACAUCUAUUUCUGUCAGGGUUCAUAUUUCCUUGACCUCAUGUUCAUUGGUCAAUUUUAAUAUUUUGUGGUUUACUCUGUUUCUCGGGAACUAUAAGCUAUAAGACCAAUAUAUUUGGUGUAUGAAAUGAUUGUAAGGUGUACACGUCUGUCUGGCAUGGUUCAUCUCACAGUGCCUUUAUUUUAGUACUGAUAAUGAUAAGUCUUUAUAAUACUUGUAGUAAAACCUUCGUAUUACAGACUAUCAACAUAAAUUAACACGUACAUGUAAAGCAGGCGAGAUAUAUUAGUGUGUGAACUCUUGUUAUUAAGAAAUGUUCCUCAAUUAUAAAAUUAUUUCAAAUUACAUGUAUUUGAAUUGAUAUUAAACAAAGAAAAAUAAUAUAAAACUAUGAAUAGCAUUUUUCUAGUAAUGAAUAUAUGUUUAUUUAUAUUGAUAAGGAGAAUAUUUAAUUGGAUAAACUUUGGAACAAUGGAGUAUAAUGUGUAAAUUCACUGUUUAACUUAGAGAACAGGUACAGUUUUUUAGAUGCUGUAUUAGUUAUAUUUCAUUUUCCCUUUAUGCUUGUUUUAUAUCUGCUUUAAGAAUAAAAAUCACAUAAUACCUUGUUAUGUUGUUAAACAAUUGAGUUGCACAGUAUUUUGAUGUAUACACUUAUUUUUAUCAAGACUUCAACAAAAGCAAUUUUCCAACAGCACCUGCAUAUUGCGCAUAUAUCUCCUAUUUAAAACGAUAUUCCAGAAUCCAGAUCUUGUUUUCCUGCUUACCAAGAUUUCCAAGUAAUGAAGUUGAUGUAGCUGUCCCUUUAAAAUGUUGCAGACACCAUCAUGAGUUGUUUGACAGAUAUGGAAUAUAUUAAGAACAACAUUUUUGCAAUAUCAGAAAACUGUUAUGAUUUAUACUGCAGUAGUUUUUUUUAACACAUCUUAUUACCAUGAUGACUAAUUAUUUUUCUUACUCAUAUUAGAUAAACAC